UGGGGAAUAUUGCGCAAUGGGCGAAAGCCUGACGCAGCCACGCCGCGUGAGCGAUGAAGGCCUUCGGGUCGUAAAGCUCUGUGGGGAGAGACGAAGAAAGCCUGUGAAGAGCAGGCCUUGACGGUAUCUCCUUAGCAAGCACCGGCUAACUCCGUGCCAGCAGCCGCGGUAAUACGGAGGGUGCAAACGUUGCUCGGAAUCAUUGGGCGUAAAGCGCACGUAGGCGGCGAAGCAAGUUGGGUGUGAAAGCCCUGGGCUCAACCCAGGAAGUGCAUUCAAAACUGCUUCGCUUGAAUCUCGGAGGGGGUCAGAGAAUUCCCGGUGUAGAGGUGAAAUUCGUAGAUAUCGGGAGGAAUACCAGUGGCGAAGGCGCUGACCUGGACGAAGAUUGACGCUGAGGUGCGAAAGCGCGGGGAGCAAACAGGAUUAGAUACCCUGGUAGUCCGCGCUGUAAACGAUGAGUGCUAGACGGUGGAGGUAUUCG
rnacentral:rRNA from 1 species